rnacentral:rRNA from 1 species
UACGGGGGGAGCAAGCGUUGUUCGGAUUUACUGGGCGUAAAGGGCGCGUAGGCGGCCACCGCAAGUCGACUGUGAAAUCUCCGGGCUUAACCCGGAAAGGUCAGCCGAUACUGCGGGGCUAGAGUGCAGAAGGGGCAACUGGAAUUCUCGGUGUAGCGGUGAAAUGCGUAGAUAUCGAGAGGAACACCAAUGGCGAAGGCAGCUUGCUGGGCUUCUUCUGACACUGAGGUACGAAAGCGUGGGGAGCGAACAGG